CCUACGGGAGGCUGCAGUGGGGAAUAUUGCGCAAUGGGCGAAAGCCUGACGCAGCGACGCCGCGUGAGGGAUGAAGGUCUUCGGAUCGUAAACCUCUGUCAGCAGGGAAGAACGGUCACUGUGCUAAUCAGGAGUGAAUUGACGGUACCUGCAAAGGAAGCACCGGCUAACUCCGUGCCAGCAGCCGCGGUAAUACGGAGGGUGCGAGCGUUAAUCGGAAUUACUGGGCGUAAAGCGCUCGUAGGCGGUAUGUCAAGUCAAGGGUGAAAUCCCCGCGCUCAACGUGGGAACUGCCUUUGAAACUGGUAAACUGGAGUGUGUGAGAGGAUAGUGGAAUUCCAGGUGUAGGAGUGAAAUGCGUAGAUAUCUGGAGGAACAUCAGUGGCGAAGGCGACUAUCUGGCACAUAACUGACGCUGAGGAGCGAAAGCGUGGGUAGCAAACAGGAUUAGAUACCCUUGUAGUC
rnacentral:rRNA from 1 species